rnacentral:rRNA from 1 species
CUAUACGGUGAAACUGCGAAUGGCUCAUUAAAUCAGUUAUCGUUUAUUUGAUAGUACCUUACUACUUGGGAUAACCGUGGUAAUUCUAGAGCUAAUACAUGCUAAAAACCUCGACUUCGGGAGGGGUGUAUUUAUUAGAUAAAAAACCAAUGCCCUUCGGGGCUUCUUGGUGAUUCAUAAUAACUUAACGAAUCGCAUGGCCCUGCGCCGGCGAUGGUUCAUUCAAAUUUCUGCCCUAUCAACUUUCGAUGGUUAGGUAGUGGCUAACCAUGGUUUCGACGGGUAACGGGGAAUUGGCGCGAAGGGAGAGAUGAGUUUACUAUCUUUUGAUCAUGUGCUAACGUACAUCGCAGAGGGUUCUAUUCCGGAGAGGGAGCCUGAGAAACGGCUACCACAUCCAAGGAAGGCAGCAGGCGCGCAAAUUACCCAAUCCCGACACGGGGAGGUAGUGACAAUAAAUACUGAUGCAGGGCUCUUUUGGGUCUUGCAAUUGGAAUGAGUACAAUUUAAAUCCCUUAACGAGGAACAAUUGGAGGGCAAGUCUGGUGCCAGCAGCCGCGGUAAUUCCAGCUCCAAUAGCGUAUAUUAAAGUUGUUGCAGUUAAAAAGCUCGUAGUUGAAACUUGGGCCUGGCUGUCCGGUCCGCCUCACCGCGUGCACUGGCUCGGCCGGGCCUUUCCUUCUGAGGAGCCGCAUGCCCUUUAUUGGGUGUGUCGGGGAACCAGGACUUUUACUUUGAAAAAAUUAGAGUGUUCAAAGCAGGCCUAUGCUCGAAUACAUUAGCAUGGAAUAAUAGAAUAGGACGCGUGGUUCUAUUUUGUUGGUUUCUAGGACCGCCGUAAUGAUUAAUAGGGAUAGUCGGGGGCAUCAGUACUCAAUUGUCAGAGGUGAAAUUCUUGGAUUUAUUGAAGACUAACUACUGCGAAAGCAUUUGCCAAGGAUGUUUUCAUUAAUCAGGGAACGAAAGUUAGGGGAUCGAAGACGAUCAGAUACCGUCGUAGUCUUAACCAUAAACUAUGCCGACUAGGGAUCGGACGGUGUUAUUAUUUUGACCCGUUCGGCACCUUACGAGAAAUCAAAGUUUUUGGGUUCUGGGGGGAGUAUGGUCGCAAGGCUGAAACUUAAAGACAUUGACGGAAGGGCACCACCAGGCGUGGAGCCUGCGGCUUAAUUUGACUCAACACGGGGAAACUCACCGGGUCCGGAUUUGAUAAGGAUUGACAGAUUGAGAGCUCUUUCUUGAUUUCAAAGUUGGUGGUGCAUGGCCGUUCUUAGUUGGUG